rnacentral:misc_RNA from 1 species
AACGCACAUUGCGCCCUCUGGUAUUCCGGGGGGCAUGCCUGUUCGAGCGUCAUUAUAACCACUCAAGCUCUCGCUUGGUAUUGGGGUUCGCGGUUUCGCGGCUCCUAAAAUCAGUGGCGGUGCCUAUCGGCUCUACGCGUAGUAAUACUCCUCGCGAUUGAGUCCGGUAGGUCUACUUGCCAGCAACCCCUAAUUUUUUUUAAGGUUGACCUCGGAUCAGGUAGGGAUACCCGCUGAACUUAA